rnacentral:lncRNA from 1 species
CGCCUGUUUUUUAUCAGAAUCCUUACGAAUCACUUUCUUUGGGUAUUUCGAUACGCCGACGACCAAACAGUGACCGUAGGGCCUAUCACGUGUCCCAUCGUCAAAACGGUAGAGUCUCGUGCCUAUUACGGUAGAGUCUCGUGCUGAUAACGUGUUAUAAAAUAAUAACAGAAGAAGAAAAGUAUUGCAGAGAAAGAGAGAGAAUUCUGAUAACGUGUUAUAAAAUAAUAAAAGAGCUCGAACAAUCACAGCUUUCCUCCCGGCGUAGCGCCCUUGGAGUACGACUACGGCUUUGUUUGGCUUCAGGAAUUUCACCAUUUUUGCGAUUUGGUAAAAGCU